rnacentral:rRNA from 1 species
GUGGGGAAUCUUGCGCAAUGGGCGAAAGCCUGACGCAGCCAUGCCGCGUGAAUGAUGAAGGUCUUAGGAUUGUAAAAUUCUUUCACCGGGGACGAUAAUGACGGUACCCGGAGAAGAAGCCCCGGCUAACUUCGUGCCAGCAGCCGCGGUAAUACGAAGGGGGCUAGCGUUGCUCGGAAUUACUGGGCGGAAAGGGCGCGUAGGCGGACAGUUUAGUCAGAGGUGAAAGCCCAGGGCUCAACCUUGGAAUUGCCUUUGAUACUGGCUGUCUUGAGUACGGGAGAGGUGAGUGGAACUCCGAGUGUAGAGGUGAAAUUCGUAGAUAUUCGGAAGAACACCAGUGGCGAAGGCGACUCACUGGCCCGUUACUGACGCUGAGGCGCGAAAGCGUGGGGAGCAAACAGGAUUAGAUACCCUUGUAGUCC